GACGAACGCUGGCGGCGUGCUUAACACAUGCAAGUCGAACGGAAAGGCCCUGCUUUUGUGGGGUGCUCGAGUGGCGAACGGGUGAGUAACACGUGAGUAACCUGCCCUUGACUUUGGGAUAACUUCAGGAAACUGGGGCUAAUACCGGAUAGGAGCUCCUGCUGCAUGGUGGGGGGUGGAAAGUUUCGGCGGUUGGGGAUGGACUCGCGGCUGAUCAGCUUGUUGGUGGGGUAGUGGCUUACCAAGGCUUUGACGGGUAGCCGGCCUGAGAGGGUGACCGGCCACAUUGGGACUGAGAUACGGCCCAGACUCCUACGGGAGGCAGCAGUGGGGAAUUUUGCACAAUGGGCGGAAGCCUGAUGCAGCAACGCCGCGUGCGGGAUGACGGCCUUCGGGUUGUAAACCGCUUUCGCCUGUGACGAAGCGUGAGUGACGGUAAUGGGUAAAGAAGCACCGGCUAACUACGUG
rnacentral:rRNA from 1 species